ACAGCCUAUAAGAGAUGGUCCUUAGCUUUGAAGUAUCAAGACAUCAAAUGAAGACUGGAUUCCCAUGCUACACAAGGUGCAACACUAAGCUCACAGGGUGGACUGCUAUAGUUGCAGUGGCAACCAACACGUGGAGCAGCACUUGUGAAGUUUCUGCCCCACUUAUCUGUUCGGAAGUGCCAAGAAGAAGGAAGAGCAAAGGCUGGUGGGAGGGAGAAUACACACAAACAGAUGAUACACCAAGAAAACCCAACAGUCUGUAGCCUCCCCAAAGAGCUCAGAGCGCCACAACAGAAGCAGCGGCGGAGGAUUGCGGCACCCUUUCGAGGCUGACAUACGGCAACUUUUCAAGCACAAGAACUUUGCCUCUCUUGUCCUGGGGGUUUGAUUAAUCCAACAGUCAUGUUCUACAGACCAGAGAGAUUCUACACAUAUAAGAAUAUUUGCAUAUUAAGCUAGAGACACCAGCAGCUCCAGCCCCCAGAGGUGGGUUUCUAUAAGUAGUCCUUAAAAGCUUUUCAGACUAAUUCCACAGUAGUAAAUCUUAAUGACUUGACUUCCCUGUGAUUUACCAGUACCACACCAAGGCCCUGUGAUUAACUGGCUUGCCUCUACAUUCCAAUGAAACCCAUCCGUGCACAAAUGAAACUUGUCUUCCACAGACAUUCAACCUACUAUCUUGACAGGGGACAUUACAGAGUGGUUCUUAUUCCCUAUACCAGGAGUAGGCAACCUUUCAGAAGCGGUGUGCCGAGUCUUCUUUUAUUCACUCUAAUUUAAGGUUUUGCGUGCUGGUAAUACAUUUUUAAUGUUUUUUUAGAAG